rnacentral:lncRNA from 1 species
GUAUGAUUUUAUAUCUAUAUCUAUCUAUAUAUAUAUAAUAUGAUUGAAACAAUUGCUCAGAUAUAUAUUUUGUUUAACAAUGUGUCAAGACUACUGGCACUUCUGUUUUCAAUACUUAGUAUUUGUACUAUUUAUUUUACACAGUCUCUUUCGCUCAUCUUUUUCAAGGGUGCCAAUCAUUUGGAACUUGACUGUAUGUGUCUCCUCGCCUCAACACAAAGACACAGACGGGACAACUCUAUUGUACUCUACAUUACUCUAUUGUACUCUACAUUACUCUAUUGUACUGUAUAUUACUCUAUUGUAUUGUAUAUUACUCUAUUGUACUGUAUAUUACACUAUUGUACUGUAUAUUACUCUAUAGUUCUGGUGAACCUCCAGAACUAUAGCUCAAACAGAACAUCUAUCUAUCUGUAGGCUGGAAAACAACUCCAAGUCCUCAGGUUGCAGGGGAAUGCCUACUAUUGACAUCACAAACAAACACCCUAUCGAUUCGGUUGUUAUUUGUUAUAUCGUUCUCAGUGUAUAUUUUUCCGUAAUGUACACAUUAUCUGGGGCUGGACUUUCUAUAGUGAGAUCAUGGACAUUGAUAUUCUAUUGCUCCUAGCACUAGUGCAGUCUUGUCUAUGUGGCAGAUUUAAGAGGGAGAGGCCACGACCUAUCCCAAAACGCAUUGCCACUAACGACCCUCAAUCAGUCAAUAAAAUGGUAACUGAUAAGAUAUCCUGGGCGAUAAAACUAAAACAGAGUAUUCCAGCAUGCCUCGGAGAAAGACUACACAUUGUCUCUGAAUAUACGAACAACCCGAAAUGUGGCUACCUUCUGACAACAAAGUAUCAAAAGAGUAAUGGCGAAAGACAUACAGUACUUCAAACAGUCCUGAAAAAAAAGAUGCUUCAUGAAUUACUCAAUUACCAUAGUGCUGAACCUUGUGACCUCUCCAUAAUUUAUUUACAACGUUGAAAAGUCAAUUAGUCAAUCGGCCAUUAAACGUCUGUUGACGAGAGACUGUGGGACGUCUGAUCUGAUCUAAGCACAAUCAAAGUAUUGAUCAGCAGAGAAGAAGACACAGGCUGCAUCUAAGAAAAUGAAUAUGAAGAUUUUUCAUACAGGUGCAAUUACAAUAUUACUCAAACGAAGCUCUAUUAAAACACCCAACGUGUAUCCUCUUAUGUGGGACAUCCAUACCAUCCAGUUGUAUCCUGGCAGGGUCAGGGGCUCAGGCCUCUCUGUUGCUCCAGACUAGCCCCUCGUUUCCCCUCCCUAUUCCCCGGGCCGUGCCCAUCGGCCUGAACACUAGAACAGGGAUCAAUGCUGAGGAGGUUUGUUUCAAUCAAUUAAACAGACAAGUGCCUGCAUUAAUUUCCAAUAGCCCAAUCCGAACCCUGACAACUCUCUCUGUCUGCAGAAACACAGGAACUGUAGAAUAGUCAAGGCGCUCUCCAUUUUACAUAGAUAUAUAAUGAAUAACUGCAUCGCUAAAAUCACAGCUGGACUCCCCCCCGGAAAUUAUUUUAGAUCAUACAUUUUUUUGUUGUUGUGUUUUUGUAAUAAUUAAUGCAACAUGGAACAAAUCAAAUGGAACAAUGUGGAUAGAAAACAGUUUAACUGAUUAUAAUUGCCAUAGUCUAUAGUUUUGCAUGUUUAUGUGAAGAGGGCCUACACAGCAUUAUCAUAGUAGCGUAUAGUCCAAGUCCCCAGAACUGCCAGCUGCUUGUACUGAAGUUCAGUCCAGACCCUGGCCAUUAGUUCACAAUAUGAACUGGCCAUGCUUACUGGAAAUUAACACGUGGGCUAAUUAAAAUUCAGCGGAGCUGUAAAGCAGGAGGAAGUAAUUAAAGGAACAAGGGCACUCUGAUGGAAGCAUCCUCUUGUCAAUGUCGGCCGGGAAAUGUCUACUGCUCUACUGUUUCCUCGCCACACACACACACACACACACACACACACACACACACACACACACACACACACACACACACACACACACACACACAAGCGCGCAAACACACACACCCACAUAUGCGCACACAAGUGUAUGCACGCAAGCACACACACACAUGCGUGCGCACACACGCACGCACACACAUUUGUGCGCCAGAACAAUUACUACAUUGCAGAGGUUUAUAGUUGUCGUAAUAUUAUCGUUACACAGAUCCUCUGUUUAUAAGGUCAUAACAUUUAUAGCUUAUGCUGUAAUAAUAUGGUAAUUAUUGAUGGAAAAGAAUGACUAUAUUUUAUCAUAUUAACCAAGGUAACUAGGAUUAUACAAUUGCAAAUUAAAUGUUUCCCAAAAGUGAUUAUGUUCCAGAACUGACUUUACUUGACAUUUUAACUUCAAACAAUGUUUUGUUAUUAAGAACUGUCAAAAAAAUUAUGACACGGUCAUAUGCUAGAUCUUUUUCUCAUUCAUAAACCUCACCAUCCUCUGCAACAUAGGACUAUGUAAAAUAACACUGCCAAAGGGGGAAUAGUAUUUCUCAGAGGCAAUAUGAGAUUCAGCAAUGUGCCUGGACACCUUUGUUAUACUGUCUAUGGUUGUAACAAAAUAGAGCCAGAAUAGAGCGAGAAUACAGCUAGAACAUAGCCAGAAUAUAGCCAGAAUAUAGCCAGAACAUAGCCAGGACAUAGCCAGAAUAUAGCCAGAAUAUAGCCACAACAUAGCCAGAACAUAGCCAGAACAUAGCCAGAAUAUAGCCAGAACAUAGCCAGAACAUAGCCAGAAUAUAGCCAGAACAUAGCCAGAAUAUAGCCAGAAUAUAGCCAGAACAUAGCCAGGACAUAGCCAGAACAUAGCCAGAAUAUAGCCAAAACAUUGCCAGAAUAAAACGUAAGAAUAUAAAUGAAUGGCAAAAGCAGGACAAGGGCAACCUAACCUACUUCAAGUGGAGCCUAGCACAGUUGUGUCUGAGUGUAUGUACACUUUAACUUAGUGUUUGCUUGUUCUUGUGAUUGUCUGUUUCAGGAUGUGUGUGUGCACGCGUGUGUACGCGCCCAUGCUUGUGCAUGCAUGAUGUGUGUGGGUUUUCUCUGUGUGUGUGUGGCCUAGCGUAUCGUCCUGCUGGUCCCCUAUAAGCGGGGUGUAAUUGGGAGCAGCAGCAGUGUGUGUAGCGCUGCAGACAGGGUGUCAGGCCAGCUGUGGAGCAAGAGAAGAGGAGGAGAGGAGAG